rnacentral:rRNA from 1 species
GAGACACCCCCCGGGAAACUGGCGCUAAUCCUGAUAGGUGAAGAACUCUGGAAUGAGUCCUCACCCAAAAGACGCCUAGGCCACGCUUCUAGGCACCGCCCAAGGAUGGGGCCGCGACCGAUCAGGUUGUUGGUGAGGUAACGGCCUACCAAGCCUUUUACCGGUACGGGCCGUGAGAGCGGGAGCCCGGAGAUGGGCACUGAGACAAGGGCCCAGGUCCUACGGGGCGCAGCAGUCGCGCAAACUUUGCAAUACACGAAAGUGUGACAGGGCUAUCCCGAGUGCCGUCCGCUGAGGGUGGCUUUUACCCAGUCUAGAAAGCUGGGAGAAUAAGGAGAGGGCAAGUCUGGUGUCAGCCGCCGCGGUAAUACCAGCUCUCCGAGUGGCGUGGAUGUUUAUUGGGCCUAAAGCAUCCGUAGCUUGCUGACCAAGUCCCCUGUUAAACCCAACGAAUCAAUCGUUGGAUUGCGGGGGAUACUGCUCGGCUAGGGGACGGGAGAGGCCGACGGUAUUUUCGGGGUAGGGGUGAAAUCCUAUAAUCCCGAGAGGACCACCAGUGGCGAAGGCUGUCGGCUAGAACGCGCCCAACGGUGAGGGAUGAAAGCUGGGGGAGCGAACCGGAUUAGAUACCCGGGUAGUCCCAGCUGUAAACGAUGCAGGCUAGGUGUUUGGGCGGCCACGCGCCGCUCUAGUGCCGCAGGGAAG